UACGAAGGGUGCAAGCGUUGCUCGGAAUUAUUGGGCGUAAAGGGUAGGUAGGUGGUUACGUAUGUCUGAGGUGAAAGCCCCGAGCUUAACUUGGGAAGUGCCUUGGAAACGGCGUAACUAGAGUACUGGAGAGGUUUGUGGAAUUCCCGGUGGAGCGGUGAAAUGCGUAGAGAUCGGAAAGAACACCAACGGCGAAAGCACUCUGCUGGGCCGACACUGACACUGAGAGACGAAAGCUAGGGGGGCGAAUGGG
rnacentral:rRNA from 1 species